UACCAGCUCUCCGAGUGGUAGGGAUGAUUAUUGGGCUUAAAGCGUCCGUAGCCGGCUUAGUAAGUCUCCUGUUAAAUUCAGCGACCUAAUCGUUGAGCCGCGGGAGAUACUACUAGGCUAGGAGGCGGGAGAGGUCAACGGUACUUCCGGGGUAGGGGUGAAAUCCUAUAAUCCCGGGAGGACCACCAGUGGCGUAGGCUGUUGACUAGAACGCGCUCGACGGUGAGGGACGAAAGCUGGGGGAGCGAACCGGAUUAGAUACCCGGGUAGUCCCAGCUGUAAACGAUGCGAGCUAGGUGUUGGGAUGUCUACGUGCCACUUCAGUGCCGCAGGGAAGCCAUUAAGCUCGCCGCCUGGGGAGUACGGCCGCAAGGCUGAAACUUAAAGGAAUUGGGCGGGGGAGCACCACAAGGCGUGAAGCUUGCGGUUC
rnacentral:rRNA from 1 species